GUCGGGGUGCAUACAGGGAGCAAGCAUUUUGGAAGUCACAAAGCCUUCACCACAUUCGUGAUACGCCACGACGGAUGAACUUGGGGCCGUCAUGGAAAUGUGGAAAUUCCAAGAUCGCUUUCCCCUCGGCCACUGCGAGUCAACCGCGUGGACUCAAUUCGAAGCGCAGUUUCAUUGGACGGCGGUUGCCCCUGGCAACGGGUAGCGACGCAUUCGCCGCGGGGUGGACGCCAUUUUUAAUUCCCGUUAAAAAUAGGCGCACGCAUUAACACUGCGACUCUGAG